rnacentral:lncRNA from 1 species
CACUCAGAGCAGAGGUAAGGGGAGAGGGAGGGAGAUGCUUGUAAAUGAAGGCAAAACCACAUAUUAUAGAGGCUCACAAUCAAUUAAAUAUUUGAGUUUUAUAUUCAAAAUGUAGCCUCACAACUCUUCUGUGAGAUAGAUUGUACAAUUAGACCCAGAUUAGAGAGAGGAAAGCAAAGCUUUGAGAAGUUCUGUAAGCCCAGUGUCUCAUAUUUAGCAAGAAUUGGAGCCAGACAUCCACCCAAGUCUAUCUGCCACCAAAUCCCAUAAUCCAUUUUAAAUGACUUUGUAAUCAAAUAUUGUAUAACCAUAGAUCUAUGAAUAUUAAUUAGAGACUGAAUUAACAACUUCAGACUUUCAAACAAAAAUUAAAUUCUUCUUCCAUAAAAAUUGUCUCUAUAGUAUUUUGAGAUUAUAUUUUAAAAGUUUUAAAAACUGAGCUUUGAUCUUUUAUUUCUUUUGAUAUUUCUGCUAUAUAUAUGUGUAUAUAUAUGUGUGUAUAUAUAUGUGUGUGUGUGUAUAUAUAUAUAUACU